rnacentral:rRNA from 1 species
UACGUAGGGGGCAAGCGUUGUCCGGAUUUAUUGGGCGUAAAGAGCGUGUAGGCGGCUAGGUAGGUCCGUUGUGAAAACUCGAGGCUCAACCUCGAGACGUCGAUGGAAACCAUCUAGCUAGAGUCCGGAAGAGGAGAGUGGAAUUCCUGGUGUAGCGGUGAAAUGCGCAGAUAUCAGGAGGAACACCUAUGGCGAAGGCAGCUCGCUGGGACGGUACUGACGCUGAGACGCGAAAGCGUGGGGAGCGAACAGG